AGCGUAUGACAGCAGCAAGUUCGAUUGUGCGUCAAGAAUUCUGCAUAGCAUGUCUGUAUGAAGAUUAAAACAUUUUAAAAAGUUUGUAUGAAGGUCUGGCUAUUAAAUGGUUACCUUGUAACUGGAGAUUCCUUCAAAACGAUUGCCUACAGUUAAUGGACACUGCAAGGUUGGGUGACCAGGGCCAUCUGGGACUGCCUCCAGGAGGAAUUCAGGCGUGUGAAGGCUACCUGUGUUCUGCAUAACUUCCUGAGGAUGGACACAAGGACAAGGAGGGGAUCUGCAGCUCGCCGCCGUGUGCCAGAGGAGAAGUCUGCUGCUCUGCAGGAUGUUUCAAGGAUGGGGUCCAACAACACAGCAAGGGAAGCGAUCCGUGUGCGGGUGGCAGUAGAUGGGCCAUCGCAGGAGGAAGUGGCCAACAAAAAAAGAAGAGUGAGGUGUGACAUCUGCUAUUCAAGUCAAUGACAACAACAACUGAGGCAGGGACAGAGAAUUAGAGACAAGGACAGAGAAAGGAGGAUACCUAGUCAUUUGUACAACUGAAAUGUGGCUUUUGCAUUGAACCCAAUCCCUCUG